rnacentral:rRNA from 1 species
AUUGAACGCUGGCGGCAUGCCUUACACAUGCAAGUCGAACGGUAACGGGCCUUCGGGUGCCGACGAGUGGCGAACGGGUGAGUAAUGUAUCGGAACGUACCUUUCAGUGGGGGAUAACGUAGCGAAAGUUACGCUAAUACUGCAUAUUCUGUGAGCAGGAAAGCAGGGGAUCGCAAGACCUUGCGCUGAUUGAGCGGCCGAUAUCAGAUUAGCUAGUUGGUGAGGUAAAGGCUCACCAAGGCGACGAUCUGUAGUGGGUCUGAGAGGAUGAUCCGCCACACUGGAACUGAGACACGGUCCAGACUCCUACGGGAGGCAGCAGUGGGGAAUUUUGGACAAUGGGGGCAACCCUGAUCCAGCCAUGCCGCGUGAGUGAAGAAGGCCUUCGGGUUGUAAAGCUCUUUCGGCCGGGAAGAAAUCGUAUGGGUUAAUACCCUGUGCGGAUGACGGUACCGGCAUAAGAAGCACCGGCUAACUACGUGCCAGCCGCCGCGGUAAAAC